UACGUAGGGGGCAAGCGUUGUCCGGAAUCAUUGGGCGUAAAGAGCGUGUAGGCGGCCAGAUAAGUCCGCUGUGAAAUCUCGAGGCUCAACUUCGAGCUGUCGGUGGAAACUAUCUGGCUAGAGUCCGGAAGAGGAGAAUGGAAUUCCUGGUGUAGCGGUGAAAUGCGCAGAUAUCAGGAAGAACACCCGUGGCGAAGGCGGAUCUCUGGGCCAUUACUGACGCUGAGGAGCGAAAGCGUGGGGAGCGAACAGG
rnacentral:rRNA from 1 species